UACGGGGGGGGCAAGCGUUGUUCGGAAUUACUGGGCGUAAAGGGCUUGUAGGUGGCCAACUAAGUCAGACGUGAAAUCCCCGGGCUUAACCUGGGAACUGCAUUUGUGACUGCAUGGCUGGAGUGCGGCAGAGGGGGAUGGAAUUCCGCGUGUAGCAGUGAAAUGCGUAGAUAUGCGGAGGAACACCGAUGGCGAAGGCAAUCCCCUGGGCCUGCACUGACGCUCAUGCACGAAAGCGUGGGGAGCAAACAGG
rnacentral:rRNA from 1 species